CGCACCUUGCGCUCCUUGGACAUUCCGAGGAGCAUGCCUGUUUGAGUGUCAUUAUAUUCUCAACCCCACCAGUUCUUGUGACUGGCUCUUGGGGCUUGGAUGUGGAGGUUUUUUUGCAGGCCUUUGUUGGUCAGCUCCUCUGAAAUGCAUUAGCGGAACCGUUUGCGAUCCGUCACAGGUGUGAUAAUUAUCUACGCCUAGUGGGUUGCUUUCUGUAUGUUCAGCUUAUAACCGUCCUAAUUAACUGGACAAUUUACUGAACGUUUGACCUCAAAUCAGGUAGGAUUACCCGCUGAACUUAA
rnacentral:misc_RNA from 1 species